rnacentral:rRNA from 1 species
GGAAUAUUGGACAAUGGGCGAAAGCCUGAUCCAGCCAUGCCGCGUGUGUGAAGAAGGUCUUCGGAUUGUAAAGCACUUUAAGUUGGGAGGAAGGGCAGUAACGUAAUACGUUGCUGUUUUGAAGUUACCGACAGAAUAAGCCACGGCUAACGCGGUGCCAGCAGCCGCGGUAAUACAGAGGGUGCAAGCGUUAAUCGGAAUUACUGGGCGUAAAGCGCGCGUAGGUGGUUUGUUAAGUUGGAUGUGAAAGCCCCGGGCUCAACCUGGGAACUGCAUCCAAAACUGGCAAGCUAGAGUACGGUAGAGGGUGGUGGAAUUUCCUGUGUAGCGGUGAAAUGCGUAGAUAUAGGAAGGAACACCAGUGGCGAAGGCGACCACCUGGACUGAUACUGACGCUGAGGUGCGAAAGCGUGGGGAGCAA